AACGCACGCUAGUGGGCAGCAGCACAUGAGAAAUCAAAGUCUUUGGGUUCCGGGGGGAGUAUGGUCGCAAGGCUGAAACUUAAAGGAAUUGACGGAAGGGCACCACCAGGAGUGGAGCCUGCGGCUUAAUUUGACUCAACACGGGAAAACUUACCAGGUCCAGACAUAGGAAGGAUUGACAGAUUGAGAGCUCUUUCUUGAUUCUAUG
rnacentral:rRNA from 1 species